UACGUAGGGGGCAAGCGUUGUCCGGAUUUAUUGGGCGUAAAGAGCGUGUAGGCGGUUUGGUAGGUCCGCUGUGAGAACUCGAGGCUCAACCUCGAGACGCCGGUGGAAACCAUCAGACUAGAGUCCGGAAGAGGAGAGUGGAAUUCCUGGUGUAGCGGUGAAAUGCGCAGAUAUCAGGAGGAACACCGAUGGCGAAGGCAGGUCUCUGGGCAUUAACUGACGCUGAGGAGCGAAAGCAUGGGGAGCGAACAGG
rnacentral:rRNA from 1 species